rnacentral:rRNA from 1 species
UACGGAGGGUGCAAACGUUGCUCGGAAUCAUUGGGCGUAAAGCGCACGUAGGCGGCUCGUUAAGUCGGAUGUGAAAUCCCUCGGCUCAACCGAGGAAGUGCAUUCGAUACUGGCGAGCUUGAAUAUGGAAGAGGGUCGCGGAAUUCCCGGUGUAGAGGUGAAAUUCGUAGAUAUCGGGAGGAACACCAGUGGCGAAGGCGGCGACCUGGGCCAAUAUUGACGCUGAGGUGCGAAAGCGUGGGGAGCAAACAGG